CUUUUACGUUUCAUCUAGGUUCAAGAAGCUCGGGAUGAACUGCAAUGGGGUGAGGAGGGUCCUCCUCCACUGCUAGUGAAAAUAGCCCCUGGCUUGUCUAAGGAAGACCUUGAAGAUAUAGCAGCUGUUGCCCUAGCCCUCCAUUUGGAUGGAUUGGUAUCUUUUCUUUCUACAACAUGCUAUGAUAAAUUUGCAACUUAAGUCUUUGUUGGGUUAUUAAAUCUUCACUAGACUUAAUUACUCAAGAUCAACACUGAAAUGGUGAAGAAAAGGCUGAGAAAGAUUCUGCCAAAUCCUCGAUGCUGGAUACUCGACGCUCGAUAUGUUUCUACUCGAUGCUUGAUGCGAAUUUCCUUCUUUGUCUGACGAGUUUCUGUUGAAUCCUCGAUUGAACUCGAUGAAUAUUGAACGAUACUCGAUCUUACUCGAUGAGUCUUGAUCUUUACUCAAUACGACUCGAUAAAGGAAAUCGACCAACUCGAAGCUACUCGAUAGCAAAGAUCGAUCCACGAUUCAACUCGAUACUCUGUAAUUCAAUACAUUUUGAAACAAGAUUGUUUUUGUGCGCGAUUUGCAGAAAGAUAAUAGUCGAUCAAACAAAGAAGAUAAAGACAAGAAGAAGAAACAAAAAGGCUUACGUUGUUCAAUUAUAACUAAUACAACUGUUUCAAGACCGGAGCCUGCUGAUAAAAAUCCAUUGGCUGCUGAAGCUGGUGGACUUAGUGGGAAGCUUCUCUUCAAUCUAUCCACCAAUAUCUUAAAGGAGAUGUAUAUUUUGACCAGGGUAUGUUGAUGAAUCUCAUGAAAUGUGAAGCUUUUAAUUCAUUGGGUUGCUCUAUAUGGUAAAAUAAUAUGGGCCUCCUAGUAAGAAUGGUUAUUUCAAGUUCUUAGACACGCUACUGUUGGAUUUCAACUCAGUCAUUUGCAUGGAAAUUCCCAUGCUUAUAGUCUUCAUGUGUCUCACCGCCUACUUUUUGAGUUCCAUUAAUUUGUUCAUCUUUGAAAUCAUAGGUGAUUUUCUUUAUUUCACUAAGUUUAAGUGCUAGCUUAGGGCGUUUUAAAAUUUGCAUGAGGUCCAACCAGUACAUUUAAUAUUAACUCUAGAAGAAACGAUAUGUGUUGGGCUUGCUCACUUAAUUGUUUGAUCAAGAAAAGUCUAAAUGAUGAAAAUAUCCUCAGUUGAAAAUGUCCACGAUUCAAAAGGCCUUAGUUGAUUUGCCCCAAGACCUGGUAGGUAAUCGCACGGCUCUAGUUGCUCCACGACCUUCUAGCUGAUGUGCAACACGUGGUAAUCACCACUUUCACUGUCUGAUAAAAGUGACACCAUUCUGAUGGGAAAAAAGGAAAAAUAACAAAACAAUCUAAUUUUCUUUCUCUCUCUCGUUUCAGAUUUCUGUUUACAUGAGCUUUCUCUCUAACCCACUUCUUAUUUGAUCGUUUGCGUGAGUUUGCUGUGUGACUGAAGAAGAUGAAACAUGCAAUCUGAUAAAGAGAAAAAAGGGGAGAAGAGCUACACAAAAAUGUACACGGUUCAACAAUGGAGUGCCUAUAUCCACGAAAAGGAGAAGAACUUUUAUUAUUCAAGAGCUAAGUCACUUUUCUUUUACAGAUCUUGUAGCUUCCUUGUCAGUUUAUAAAAGAACUCACUACUAAAUGUAAAUGAUGCAUAUUUAUACUUUGAAUUGAUACAAAUAGUUAUAUAAAAAAUUGUAAAGAAAGUAUAAAUAGCCGUUGAAGUCUUGAUUUGUAUGCUUGAACUUAUUUUUGUACUUCAACAUAUUUGAGAGAUUUUAAAAUAUGUUUUUUUUAGAGAAGAAAUGACAUUGUGUAGGACUUGAAAAUUGAAUCCUUAAUCUUUUACUACAGCACUUUGUUCAGCUACCAAUAAAUCUUAGAGUUUAAGUUGAUAUGUUACGUAGACUUAAUCUUUUAUAUUCUUUCCUCUAGAUAAGAAUCUUCUUUCUGGUGGGGAUUGCUUUGGGUUUGGAGGUGCCAAAUCUGUUUUUCAUUUUUACAUUGCUCUUGAUUUCUCACAAUGGGAGAGAAUUCUAUGGAAUAAUUGUUCAAAACAUUCUUUUCAGUUAUUAUAGUGAGAGGUUUUCAAAUAUAUCUUUUUUCUUUUUACCUUUCUAUUUUCAAUUUUAUUAUUAGAUUUCGGUCCAUGGAUGGAUGACCCAAAAUUUUGAAGAAAAUUUUUAUAUUUGAGGUUUUUUUUCUUUUUUCUUUUUUCUUUUUUCUUUUUUUAUCUUUUGCUUAUGUUAUAUUCAUGUGAAAUUACUAAAAUGGAAGCUUGGUCUUUGCUCUCUUACUCACGCUUGGUCUCUUCUUUUCUCUCUCGACUUUCUCUUUUGCAAUACAAAAUUAUCAAAGUCAAAGUCGAUAGAGAAGAUGCAAACACAUAAAGAAGAAAACCCAUGGUGCAAACGAAAAAGUGAAUCAAGGGAAUCGAAAGUGAGUGAGAUGAGAAGACCAACAAGGAAAAGGAAGGAGGAAGAAGGGAAAAAAGAAAUUAAGGGUAAUUUUGUAAAUUUAUUUAAUGAUGAUGUAAUCAAGAUGACAAAAAUUUUAUGUUUUAAA